rnacentral:rRNA from 1 species
CCUACGGGAGGCAGCAGUGGGGAAUCUUAGACAAUGGGCGAAAGCCUGAUCUAGCGAUGCCGCGUGAGUGAUGAAGGCCUUAGGGUCGUAAAGCUCUUUCGCCAGGGAUGAUAAUGACAGUACCUGGUAAAGAAACCCCGGCUAACUCCGUGCCAGCAGCCGCGGUAAUACGGAGGGGGUUAGCGUUGUUCGGAAUUACUGGGCGUAAAGCGCGCGUAGGCGGAUUAUUAAGUUAGGGGUGAAAUCCCAGGGCUCAACCCUGGAACUGCCUCUAAUACUGGUAAUCUAGAGUUCGAGAGAGGUGAGUGGAAUUCCGAGUGUAGAGGUGAAAUUCGUAGAUAUUCGGAGGAACACCAGUGGCGAAGGCGGCUCACUGGCUCGAUACUGACGCUGAGGUGCGAAAGCGUGGGGAGCAAACAGGAUUAGAUACCCCAGUAGUC